rnacentral:sRNA from 1 species
GGCUCAGUUCUGCGGGCAAAACCUACAUAUCCUCAGUAUAAAAAUCCCCCAAACAUCCUCCAGUUCCCGUGCCUUCGUUCUUGCGAUACCCUUUCCCUAAGUUGUUUUCUCUUGCUCAAUACAUUUCUUCUGCUUUGCACUGCUACACCCUAAGGCCCCAACCAACUCGCCAUACAUACGAGGUCUUCUGGGUUGAACGGAGAACAUAAACCAAUUUCUAUUUUUACUCUGCUCUUAAAACAAAUAUAUUGUAACCCGGGGCCCCCUAAGAAGGAAGGGAAAGAAGCUGGAUAUCACAAUGAUAGAUAAACUUACGUAGGUAAUUGACGUGAAGGAACCUGGAAAGGAUGGCUGUUCAAGAAAAUGCCCAAAGCAUGAACAAAAGCCUAGCACACACAAGAGAAGGAUGAGUACUAGUAUGAGUUUCAUUAAUUAUGAGAUCAGACCAUUUUGUUUUUAUAUUUUGAUAAGUAUUUAAAUAUGUAUAGAUUCCUAUAUGCCCUCUUCUUCCGCUAAAAUAUUUUGAAGUCUCUUGAGGUACAAGGGGAAAUGGACGGGAGCAAGGACAAAUAAUGGGUAUAUGAAUGGGUGAUCAUAGGCCCGGAAGGCUUUAUGUACCAGAGCGGGAUAGGAUAGAGAGAAAUUAACCAUCCCUCAAAGAUUUUUGUGUAAGACAUGGCGGUGGUUGGUCUGUGGCUGUUGAAAGGGAUUUGGUGGUUAAAGCAGCCAGAGAAAGUAGAUAGAUCGAAGGUAAUAUCAAAUAAUCGAAGGGCAAAAAGGAUAUAAAGAGAAAAGUUGAAUGGCAAAGACAGCGACAAAAGAGUUUGCAAUACAGAGAGUACACGAAACCAAAGACGGGAAUGAAAGGAAAAGAAGUUGGUGAUGUAUUUUUGUCUAGGGAAGAGGAGGAGGACGCGAGGCGGGAAAAUAGAGGAAAAGGAAAAAGGAAAAAAGGAGCAACAGGCAGGGAAACAAGAGAGAAACCACUUCAAAGAAGGGAAUAUAGUUUAAUAAUAGAAAGAGAUAUCGUAAAAUUCGUGAGAAUAAGCUGCAAGAAAAGUGGUAAACAAGGUAGCUAGACAACGGACGAAGAUGUGGGUAUGUAUGGAAUGAGUUUAAUUGCUUGCUCAAGUAGAUGGAUGAAAAAUGAAAGGGAAAAAGAAGGAAACCCAAGCGGAGAAAGGCUAGAAGUGGAAAAAGGGGGGCAAGCCCACCGCAAGGGCAGCGGCAAGGAAACAGAACAAAAUAGGGGAUCAAAUAGAGAAGAAAAAAAACGCCGAUGGGCUACAGACGAGAUGGGCUUCAAAUUAUAGAAAGGAAAGAGAAUAAGAGGAAGAACAAGGAUGAAGAGAAAUAUGACACUUCAGCUUCUGGCUACCCUGUAUAUGAAUGUACAGUCGAAAUAAAUAACACAAUUGAAGAAGAUAGAGGAUAAGCAGAUAGGAUGGCGAAGGUAAAUGAAGAGGUGCGACGGCGGAAGAGUUGACACGGAAUAAGAAAUAUAAUUAGCAGGUGGAAAAAUUGUUUCCGAGAACUGUUGCGCAAGCUUUAGGGAGGAAUUUGAAGGGAUGUCUGUAUUCCCUUUUUCCUUUUCCUUCUCCCAUAUUCGUUUAGUUGCAGCUCAACUAGGAGGGCAUAUCAUCUGAGCAUUUCGUGUGAGGUGGAAAGCGCCACUGUUGUUAUUGUUAAAGAGAUACAUUUACAUGACAACGCAACAACCGCAGCCUUUCUCCUUCACUGGCGGAUCAUCCGCAGGUGGAGGUUGUGGUUUCGGUUGCGAGAUCUGUGAGGGCUUUGGAGAUAGGGAGGAUUGCACCGUUGGUGUAGUUUUGUAACCACCAUGGUCCGUCCCGCCUGUACUUGGGCGAUUGUUGUUGUCCGGGGAUUUCGCCGUCGGUGUUGGUGGCCAGAGGGAGGAAGCGGUAUUGUUUUCUUGUGCUUUUUCGACAUCCAGAUUGGGAAGAGUGGGUUUGCUAACUUCAUUAAUAGCCAAGGGUGCGAAUUCUCGGUCAUAUGUAGAUGGAACUUUGCCCUCUCGUUGCCACUGCUCCUGUUGGAGUCUUUUCGCAUGGGUGGGGAGAAUCUGUUGGUCUUGUGGUAGGCGUGGAUCGGGUUUAUACAUGGUCGCCAACCAUGGCGGAUCUCCCUCUGGACGGUUAACUGAGGUCCGGGGGCGAUCAUCCCCAGAUCUAGUAGACGGACGCGGAUUUGAGGAGCUGAUGGAGCUGUUAUUGUUGCUGCUGCCGGCCGUCGCUUUGGGUUUUGAUGUUGAUGGCUUGCGAUUAUUCGGUGGAUUGGAUGAUUUACGGGCGGUGCUUGAGUGUCUAGCAGUUGCCUUCGGUUUCGUAGGAGAGGCUUGCUGUUGAUAAGUGAUACUGCCACUAGUGGGUCGGCUCGUAGGAGGAGUCGAGUCCGAUGAGGUCAGUGGUUGCGCCUGAGGUCUUGGUUGCCGCUCCGUUUGUUGCAGCGAUUGCGGCUGGAUUUCUGGUUCAGGAGCGUCACCAGCUGCGGUUGAUAGAGGAUCGCUGAACUUGCGAGUUUUAGCAUAUGAAAUGCUGUCAUCAUCUCCGCUCCCAAGGGUGUUGUUGCGUGUGCGAUUUAGGGGGAAUUCGCGUUCUAGGUGUUCUAGGGGGAUAGGAUGGGGACUGGUCGCAAAAACGGGUAUUUUCGAAGAACUUUUCCUGAGUCCAAAAGCUUGGCGAUAUACUUGAGAAGCGUUUCUUCCUUCCUCGUACGGAUCUGCAGCGAUUUCCUCGGGUAAGCGAGGGUCUUCGAAAACGACCGGUCCACUGUCAUCUGGUUCUUGUUCCUCAUACUCAACAGGCACUGG